GUUUGUAUAAUUUAAAAAAAAUACUAGAUUGUGAUUCUAUAAAUAGGAGUUAAAGCCUCUUUACAAACC
rnacentral:tRNA from 1 species